UAAAUACUCCUUCCAUCCGAAAUUACUUAUCGUAAAAAUAGAUAAGAAUGGAUGUAUCUAGAAUUAAAAUACAUCUACAUACAUCCAUUCCCCCGACAAGUAUUUUCGGGUGGAAGGAGUAUAAG
rfam:Hordeum vulgare subsp. vulgare, WGS project CAJW01000000 data, contig: morex_contig_6536